rnacentral:lncRNA from 10 species
AACACUUUAUCAUGGUAUACAUUAAGCCCACCUUAACUUUUAAAGCCUUUAUUUAUAACCAAGUAUAUAUGAAUCUCUAGUAAGCACUUUUCUAUCAGAGUUGAGGCCUUCAAAAUGGGUUAAACUCAGACACUGUUCUGAAUGAAAGACUUAUGAACCUGCAAGAAAAAUAUGAUAGAUUAAAGAAAACAGUGCUACUUUCUAGAUAAUACCUUCCAUUUUAUCUCUUUUUUUAAUUUUCUGGACUAUUUUUAGAGUUAGUUCAGUCUCCUGAACUUCUCUGCAUGUAGAUUCCUCUCAGGGUAGCCCUUUGUUGACCAAAAACGAAAUAUGUUCACUGAUUUGGCCAGCUUUUUUUUUUUUAACUUUUUUUUUGGAGGGGAAAGGGAGUGGUCAUGGACAUCCUGAAGCAGACACAAAAAUAUAGAGAAUCCUGCACUUCCCAAGUCUCGUCGCACAGGCUUCAACAAUUACCAACAUCUUGCCCAUUUUGUUUCAUUAUCCGCACCCACACUGACAGAUGAGGGAGUCUAAAAAAUAUCUGAAACAUGAAAUCCCAAAUAUGUGAUUUUAAUCAUGAAUAUUUUCACAAAUAUCCUAACAGAUAUGGAUAUAAAGAAAAAACGCUAAGAUUUUACACCUAAGAAAAUUUAAAAAAUGAUGUGUAACAUUAUCCAAUACCUAGCCCUUAAAGAAAGAAAAUCCUGAAUUGUCUCAAAUAUUUUUAUAUUUUGUCUGAAUGAGAUCCCACCAGAUCCAAAUAUGGCAUUUGAUUGCUGUUCCUCUUGAAUGUAUUAAAAUCCAUAGAUUUACCCAAGUCUCCAAGUAGCCUGACUGCCCUUUGAAAAAGGAAUUGAGACCAUAAUCUGGGUGGGAAUUCUCACUGAUCAUGGAUUGUCAUUGCUUUUAAACCAUUCUUUGAAAAGUGUUGGGGAAAAAAUAUUUUGUUUUCUUUCUUUUUUUUUUUUUUUUUUUUUUGAGACAGAGUCUCUCUCUGUUGCCCAGGCUGGAGUGCAGUAGCACGAUUUCAGCUCAUUGCAACCUCUGCCUUGCGAGUUCAAGUGAUUUUCCUGCCUCAGGCUCCCAAGUAGCUGGGACUACAGGCACGCACCAUCACGACUGGCUUAUUUUUGUAUUUUUAGUAAAGACCAGGUUUCACCAUGUUGGCCAGGCUGAUCUCUAACUCCUGACCUUACGUGAUGUGCCUGCCUCAGCCUCCCAAAGUGCUGGGAUUACAUGCAUGAGCCACUGCACCCAGUCAAAGGUAUAUUUUUUAUGAGACUAUUUUUAAAAACACUCAAAUUGUCUGUCACAGCUCCUUGCCUAUGCCCCUAAAAAGAGAGGGGAGGAGUGGGGGAAGGGGGGGAAACAGAAACAAAAAGAAAACUGACAAACAGAGGAGGAGUCCAAAAGCCCAACACCCAUUAAGUCAAGACUUCCCACAGUUCUCUAAGCCAGCAAAUGAAUGUAAUUUAAACUGCUUUAAACUUCAUAUAAAAAUAAAUCAUUUUUGGUAAAUCAAUAAACAGAGGCAUCUCCAUGACUACUGACCUGAAUAAGGGGGAACUUGUUUUUCCUCACUUCUUCUAGGCAAAGUCAAAAACAGUAUUUAAAAUACUAACGAAAGGAGUUUUAAAAUUGAAAUUGACUUGUUUCAGAAAAGAGUCUGGGAUAAAUGUCCUCAAGCUUUCUGCCUUCAUUACGCCCCGAAUUGUCCUGUUUAGGCUUCUAAUGCCUUUGCUUAUAUAGAUAUACCAUAAAGGGAAAAUAGUAUUCUAAUCAGAAAUAAAGCAUUGAUCUUUCUCAGGCUGAAAACUACAGCAUUCAAAUUCCGUUGUAGCCGGGCUUGAUGGCUCAUGCCUGUAAUCCUAGCACUUUAAGGCUGAGGCUAGUGGAUCACCUGAAGUCAGUUCGAGACCAGCCUAGCCAACAUGGUGAAACCCCAUCUCUACUAAAAAUACAAAAAUUAUCCGGGCAUGGUGGCGCAUGCCUGUAAUCCCAGCUACACGGAAGGGUGAAGCAGGAGAAUCGCUGGAACCCGGGAGGCGGAGGCUGCAGUGAGCUGAGAUCGCGCCACCGCACUCCAGUCUGGGCGACAGAGGAAGUCUCCUUCUCAAAAAAAAAAAAACUGAUUAUGUUGCCAUAAAGGGUCCCUUUAAAAAAAAAAACGCUCUAUCCAACGAAAACUAAUUAGAAAUAAAUCUCCUUCCCGAAAGCGAUAAAAUACUAAAGAAUGAGAAACUGACAGUUUACUGAGUUUGUAAGGAAGGCCAAAUAAAGGCGGGGUUUGGAUUCCUUUGGCGCACCCAAGCCG